GAUGAACGCUGGCGGCGUGCCUAAUACAUGCAAGUCGAGCGAACAGACGAGGAGCUUGCUCCUCUGACGUUAGCGGCGGACGGGUGAGUAACACGUGGAUAACCUACCUCUAAGACUGGGAUAACUUCGGGAAACCGGAGCUAAUACCGGAUAAUAUAUUGAACCGCAUGGUUCAAUAGUGAAAGACGGUUUUGCUGUCACUUAUAGAUGGAUCCGCGCCGCAUUAGCUAGUUGGUAAGGUAACGGCUUACCAAAGCAACGAUGCGUAGCCGACCUGAGAGGGUGAUCGGCCACACUGGAACUGAGACACGGUCCAGACUCCUACGGGAGGCAGCAGUAGGGAAUAUUCCGCAAAGGGCGAAAGCCUGACGGAGCAACGCCGCGUGAGUGAUGAAGGUCUUCGGAUCGUAAAACUCUGUUAUUAGGGAAGAACAAAUGUGUAAGUAACUAUGCACGUCUUGACGGUACCUAAUCAGAAAGCCACGGCUAACUACGUG
rnacentral:rRNA from 1 species